UACAGAGGGUGCGAGCGUUGUCCGGAAUCACUGGGCGUAAAGGGCGCGUAGGCGGCGCGGGUAGUCGUCGGUGAAAGCUCAGGGCUCAACCCUGAGUCGGCCGGUGAUACUCCCGUGCUCGAGCACUGUAGAGGCAGGUGGAAUUCCGGGUGUAGCGGUGGGAUGCGUAGAGAUCCGGAAGAACACCGGUGGCGAAGGCGGCCUGCUGGGCAGUAGCUGACGCUGAUGCGCGACAGCGUGGGGAGCAAACAGG
rnacentral:rRNA from 1 species